rnacentral:rRNA from 1 species
UACGAAGGGUGCAAGCGUUACUCGGAAUUACUGGGCGUAAAGCGUGCGUAGGUGGUUUGUUAAGUCUGUUGUGAAAGCCCCGGGCUCAACCUGGGAAUGGCAAUGGAUACUGGCAGGCUAGAGUGCGGUAGAGGGUAGUGGAAUUCCCGGUGUAGCGGUGAAAUGCGUAGAGAUCGGGAGGAACACCAGUGGCGAAGGCGGCUAUCUGGACCGUAACUGACGCUGAGGCGCGAAAGCGUGGGGAGCAAACAGG